rnacentral:sRNA from 1 species
UUCCGUAUGUUCCCAUCUCAAGGAUUCACAGAGAUUGUCUUCUGUGCUGUAACCUCAAACGAGCAAGUCAAGGGCUAUGGAACACACCUGAUGAAUCAUUUGAAAGAAUAUCACAUAAAGCAUGACAUCCUGAACUUCCUCACAUAUGCAGAUGAAUAUGCAAUUGGAUACUUUAAGAAACAGGGUUUCUCCAAAGAAAUUAAAAUACCUAAAACCAAAUAUGUUGGCUAUAUCAAGGAUUAUGAAGGAGCCACUUUAAUGGGAUGUGAGCUAAAUCCACGGAUCCCGUAUACAGAAUUUUCUGUCAUCAUUAAAAAGCAGAAGGAGAUAAUCAAAAAGCUGAUUGAAAGAAAACAGGCACAGAUUCGAAAAGUUUACCCUGGACUUUCAUGUUUUAAAGAUGGAGUUCGACAGAUUCCUAUAGAAAGCAUUCCUGGAAUUAGUACGUAUAGACCUUCUUUUAAAAGCGAAAUUUUUUAGUAAUGCCGUGAUUUGUGUUUGAACCAAUUUCCAGAAUGCAGUAACUUCGAAAGCUUCAUUGCCCUGCCCAUCUCUGUGUUAUCUCUAGUCUUUUAAGACAGCAAAUGUCA